UUGACCCACAUUUAGUACACAAAAUGACCCAAAUUCUAGCCAUGCCUUUGACGCUUUUUGGUGAACAAACCGCCAUUAAGCUCCGUUCGAUUGAAAUUGACCGUUUCGUGGAUAGUGCAACACAAAAAGUUUUUUCGAAACCGAAACCAGCAGCUACCAGCAUAAUAUGUGCUGCUAUGCACCAACUAAGACUGAGGAACAACAACAAAAGACAGUUAUCAAUUUACCCAAAACCCCAAAAAUAACAAGAAAACAAACCGUUUUUAAUCCUUGAAAAAGGCAAUAAAUUUGCCGAAACGUCGGAAAUUGAAACAAUACAUUGUUUUCACUGCUAAAUGACUGAAAGCCGAAAACCAAAUCCAAAAUUGUAGAGUAACAGUCGAG